GUGAAUAUUCUGAUUUAAUGUUAUUAUUUUUCGAGGAUGUUUGCAUGGCUCUUGCUAGGGAAGUCUAGGUUUAGCCCCAGCAGCGUGGCAGAAUCUUGUACUUGGCGGUGUAAAAUGAUUACUAGCCUGUUGGGUUGAAUCCAGUGGCGUCAGUUUGGUUUUCUGAGCCGAAUCUCGGUGUAUGUCAGGUAUAUCAGGAAGGCUCUCUGGCUUUUGCUUUCUAAACCGUAAACUGAGCAGAAAUUCAUGGCUGUAGCAUAUCCUUUUUAUAUUUG